rnacentral:lncRNA from 1 species
AGCAACUCUGUCACAGUUCUUUGACAACUAUUUUGAUGUUAGACAGAUAUGGUUAUUUCUCUCUGCUCUUCAUUCUGAUUUCUUAUGAAGAAAUCCCUGAUAUUUCAGGGAGGUUUAAAACUGCAUAGAUAUAAGUGCUGUGAAACAGAGUAGAUGGUGAAAUAAGCAUCAUAUUUUCCUUUAUAUUUAAAAUACAUUCACAGAGAGUGUUUGUUGUUUCAUUUGUUUGUUUGUAUGUUUGUUUCUCCAAGGUAAAUAUUGUGCUGGGGUUUUUGUUUGUGUGUUUGGUUUUGUUUUUUAUAUAUAAAUAUUAACAUUCUGUGCAAGCGUUCAGCAAUGGGCACAGCCUUGGGCCACACGUUGGGAGCAAGGCACUGCUUCUUCUUGUCGUGCCGAAGAUGACUCUGCCAGACCGCAAACCAAGGAGCACAGCACGAGAGCCUUGGUCUUGUCAUCAUGGUACAGAUGUGCUUACUGGAUGAAGCACAUACCAAUGUAUGCUCAGGAAGGACCUGUCUCAACUAUGCUUUACAAAACUGCAACAGAUAUGGUCCUAAUUUCUUCUUUCAGUUCUUGGUCCAAGUAGGUAAGUCUCUGUGUAAUUACUUUCCUUCUCCUUUGUUCUUCAUUUGAACAAAACUACCCACACCUAACCCAUUCCUGAUUAUGAACAAUCUCAUGCUUUUUCUUAUUUUUCUUCACAGAAAUAAGAAAAAUUACAUCACUUACAAGAAUGGCACUGUUGAUAAACAGGUAGAUACUUGGAUGUUUCAGAGAUGCAAAUUAUUCUUCUUUGGGUGGAAAAAAAGAAUUGUCCAGUUAAUAUGGCUUGAGAAACUGAUGAGAAGCUUUCAAGUUUGUGGAAACACAGUUUGGGGCUUUGCUUUUCCUGGAGAUUUUACAUCCUUCAAUUUUCAAAAAGCUGUAGGCAUUAGAGGAAAAAGAUCACAUAUGCGUCAUUCUCUCCACAAGUUCUAGUCGUCAGUGCCAACAGAUAUACUUUAUAGAUGUCUGGCUUUGGUUUCAGCAUCAUAACCAGAUGGCAGUGAAUCAUGCUUUAUAAUUUAUUUAAAAGGUUAGAAAUAAAUACUUUUGUCUGGCUCCUUCCCUCUUGCUU